rnacentral:rRNA from 1 species
UUUGCGGCCGGAUGAAUAUUUUUUUCACCCAUGUCUUUUGCGCACUUGUUGUUUCCUGGGCGGGUUCGCCCGCUGCAGGACCAAACCAUAAACCUUUUUUUUAUGCGGUUGAAGUCAGGGCCCGCAUAAAAAAGGGAAAUAUUACAACUUUCACAAGGAAGUCUUGGUUCUGGCAUCAAGGAAGAACGCAGCGAAAUGUGGUAAGAAGAAAGAAUUGCAGAAUUCAGUGAAUCACCGAAUCUUUGAGCGCACAUUGCGUCCUUUGACAUACCGAAGUUCGUGCCGGUCCUAGCGUCAGUUGUACCCUCGAGCUCCGCUGGUGGUAGGUGGAAUAAGUAUCCGCUUUGCUGACGCCUCUUGUUAUGCGAAGGAGCCGGUAUGGUGGGUCGGGCGAGCCCUAUUUUGCCCUCUGAAUAAGGGGAAAAGGAACGAAAUCCAUCAAAGAAUUCUUACGAUUUUUAACCUUUUGCCCCUCGGGAUCAGGUAGGGGAUACCCGGCUGAACCUUAGGCAAAUCAAAAGGCGGGAAAAAACUUUCCCCUACAAAUUGGAGGCCUGGCUUUUGCGGGCCGG